rnacentral:rRNA from 1 species
AGUGAACGCUGGCGGUAGGCCUAACACAUGCAAGUCGAACGGCAGCACAGUAAGAGCUUGCUCUUACGGGUGGCGAGUGGCGGACGGGUGAGGAAUACAUCGGAAUCUACUUUUUCGUGGGGGAUAACGUAGGGAAACUUACGCUAAUACCGCAUACGACCUACGGGUGAAAGCAGGGGAUCUUCGGACCUUGCGCGAUUGAAUGAGCCGAUGUCGGAUUAGCUAGUUGGCGGGGUAAAGGCCCACCAAGGCGACGAUCCGUAGCUGGUCUGAGAGGAUGAUCAGCCACACUGGAACUGAGACAGGGUCCAGACUCCUACGGGAGGCAGCAGUGGGGAAUAUUGGACAAGGGGCGCAAGCCUGAUCCAGCCAUACCGGGUGGGGGAAGAAGGCCUUCGGUUUGUAAAGCCCUUUUGUUGGGAAAGAAAAGCAGAAGGUUAAUACCCCGCUGUUCUGACGGUACCCAAAGAAUAAGCACCGGCUAACUUCGUG